rnacentral:rRNA from 1 species
UACGGGGGGGGCAAGCGUUGUUCGGAAUUACUGGGCGUAAAGGGCUCGUAGGUGGCCAACUAAGUCGGACGUGAAAUCCCUCAGCUUAACUGGGGAACUGCGUCCGAUACUGGAUGGCUUGAGUUUGUGAGAGGGAUGCGGAAUUCCAGGUGUAGCGGUGAAAUGCGUAGAUAUCUGGAGGAACACCGGUGGCGAAGGCGGCAUCCUGGACCAACACUGACACUGAGGAGCGAAAGCCAGGGGAGCAAACGGG